UGCCAGCUGUGUCCUCCUGGAAGGGUCUGUUCCAAGCCAGGCCUACAGAGACCAGAUGGACUGUGCACACCUGGAUGGUUUUGUCCACCUGGAUCCAUGUCAAGCAAACCCGUGUUUCCUGGAAAUCACUCUGCAGGCAUGGCAGCUCCAGCUUCUAGAUCUUUUGGGCAGUGCCAAGCAGGAACCUUUUGUCCUACUGGUUCAUACCUUCCUAUUCCCUGCCCACCAGGUUUUUACUGUGCAACAGCAGAGCUUGCAGCUCCAUCAGGUCCCUGUGAGGCUGGCUUCUACUGCACAGGGGGCUCCGUGCUCCCAAAUCCUAUGGGUGGUGCAGUGGGGAACAUCUGUCCUCGAGGUCACUUCUGUCCUGCAGGAAGCUCCUCUCCAUCUCCGUGUCCCCCAGGCUCCUUCCUGGCUUAUCGCGGUGGUCAGGCAGCACAGGAUUGCCAGGCCUGUUUCCCAGGGUGGUUCUGUUCUCAGCGUGGCCAGAGCUCCCCAGAGGGCUUGUGUAAAGAGGGAUGGUUUUGCCCAGAGGGCUCUGUAUCUGGUCAGCACUCAGACUAUCUCUGUCCAGUGGGUCACUAUUGCCCCUCUGGCAGCCCUGAGCCCAUACCGUGUCCCUCUGGGAAAUAUCAGGACCAGACUGGUAAAAGCCAGUGUGAAACAUGCCCGGCAGGAAUGUUCUGUGCCCUAAAGGACCACCCAGACAAUCUCCAAGAGAACUUCCAUGGGAUAAUCAAACCAACAGACUGUCCAGCUGCGUAUUACUGCCUCUCAGGCACAAAAGCUGGCAAUCAAUACCCGUGCCCAGUGGGGACCUACAGUAACGAAACUGGACUAAGAAAUCAGAGAGAAUGCAAACCUUGUCCCGGAGGCAACUUUUGUUCCAGUGCAGGACUCACAUCCCCAAGCGGUACUUGUUUGCCUGGGUAUUACUGCACCUCAGAGGCACGUGUACCAAACCCAGUCAGUGAUGAGACUGGGGGCCUCUGUCCAGCAGGCCAUUACUGCCCACCGGGCAGCAGCAAGCCAGAGCCGUGUCCCACUGGCACGUUUCUGCCUCUGUCUGGAAUGGUUUACCCUAACGCCUGCCUGCCCUGCCCUGGGGGGAAGUUCUGCCGAGGAGAGGGCCUGACCAGUGUUUCUGGAUUGUGUUAUGCUGGCUAUUUCUGUGAUGCUGGAUCUACACAGCCGGAUCAGAAGCAGUGCCCCCCUGGCUCCUACUGUCCUGAAGGCUCCGAAUCCCCAGUCCCUUGCAGCCCUGGGCACUUCAACUCUGACAGUGGAAAAUGGCAGUCAAGAGACUGCCAGCUCUGCCCUGCUGGGUAUUUCUGUAGUGGUUCUGGAGCACGUACUCCUGAGCUGUGCCCUGCUGGGUACUUCUGUCUGCCAGGUACCAACUUCAGUGCACAGCAUCCAUGUCCAAAGGGAACUUUUGGCCCCAGGGCUGGUGCCACUAGCAGCUCUGACUGCGAGCCCUGCCCAGCAGGUAAGCAGGGACAUGGCAAGAGAAACUCAGGGGAAUACAUGGAAUAG
rnacentral:lncRNA from 1 species